GAAUGCGUGAGUCACGUGGUUCAUGUAGCUUCGAAUAGUUCCAAACAGCCCCCGCUGCUGCAUUGACUGCAGUUCAUUUUUCGGUGUUUCGGAAGGAUUUUCUCCAUGGCUGAGCGGAGAGCUGACCAGGAACAACGGUGGUGGCAAAUCCCAGUUGGGUCUGUGAUGGAGUGAUGCACGCCUGGAGUGAUUGCCAUCUCAUCCACAGGUUCUAACAUCAGGCAGAGGGAUACUCAUGCCCUGAAGAAACCUGCAGCCUGUUGAACCCACUGAAAAACAGAGCUUAGGUUUUCCAGCUGGGUACCCUGGUUGCAUAGCCUGUUCCUUUCUCAUCCUGGCCCUGACGCCGGCUCCUCAUGGCUUCCUGGGAUGUCCCUCUCUCCUGAUACCAUCUCAUGUCCCGUCUCACUUUCCCUCACCUCAUUUGCCUCACUGCUGCUGCUGCUUUCCUCAUUCUCUGAAAUUAUAAUGACACUGUUAGAAUAAAGAAUAAUUUUAAAAUAAAAUAUAUAAAAAUGUCUUAAUAUUUCAAAAGAUUUGUACCACAGUUUACUUGAGUACUUGUGGUCACUGGUCAGUGGAUCAACAUGCAGUGGUUCUGCUGUACUUCUCACUGCGGGGUCCUUCCUCCUCCUUGGUUCAGGGCGAUGAACAAACACAGCAUCAGCCCUGAGUCUCACCUUGCCUUGCCUAGUCUUAGUAAACUGUCCCUCCUCAAAAUGUGCCUGUAGAGUGGUGUAUUAGUUUAUUUCCUGCCACGUUUAACAGUUUAAUUGCAGCCUUGUGCAGUUGAGAGCAGAACAUGUAGAGCCUUGAUAGAAAACAUGUGAGAGUGCACAUUAAACUCACUGCACACAGCUUUUUGUUAUUGUGAUCUCUGGUCAUGGUGAGGUUGCUCCUGCUGACUUGAGCCAACCAUUUUCUUCUUCUCUCUGCAUCUUUGGGUAAGCCAUAAUUCUGAUUCCUCCCUCAGACUGUUUGCUAUAUGCAGCGCAGCCAACCAAGGUAAGAUAAUCAACCUAUAAAGCAAUUAUUAAAAUACUAUUUUUGUACAUAUAGAAAUACUGAACUAAACCAAAAAUAUAGAGAUGUAAAAUUACAUUUAAAAAUUUUAUCCAACCAUAAAAUUAGCCAUUUCAAUUUUUAACCCAUGGACACAUUUUAUUUUAAUAAUAAUCAAAAUAAAGUUACUCAAAAGAGCUUCAUUAGGUCUUGAGUACAUUGCUCAUAAUUAAUGAUUCAGCUUAUUUGUGCAUAUGUAAUGACUAAACAUAAUGUUGGUAAAAUGCUUUAUUAAAAAUGCUAUUAUACA